rnacentral:rRNA from 1 species
UACGAAGGGGGCUAGCGUUGCUCGGAAUCACUGGGCGUAAAGCGCACGUAGGCGGACUCUUAAGUCGGUGGUGAAAUCCUGGAGCUCAACUCCAGAACUGCCUUCGAUACUGGGAGUCUUGAGUCCGGGAGAGGUGAGUGGAACUGCGAGUGUAGAGGUGAAAUUCGUAGAUAUUCGCAAGAACACCAGUGGCGAAGGCGGCAUCCUGGACCGGCAUUGACGCUGAGGCGCGAAAGCUAGGGGAGCAAACGGGG